rnacentral:rRNA from 1 species
GAUGAACGCUGGCGGCGUGCCUAAUACAUGCAAGUCGAGCGAACACACGAGGAGCUUGCUCCUCUGACGUUAGCGGCGGACGGGUGAGUAACACGUGGAUAACCUACCUAUAAGACUGGGAUAACUUCGGGAAACCGGAGCUAAUACCAGAUAAUAUAUUGAACCGCAUGGUUCAAUAGUGAAAGACGGUUUUGCUGUCACUUAUAGAUGGAUCCGCGCCGCAUUAGCUAGUUGGUAAGGUAACGGCUUACCAAGGCAACGAUGCGUAGCCGACCUGAGAGGGUGAUCGGCCACACUGGAACUGAGACACGGUCCAGACUCCUACGGGAGGCAGCAGUAGGGAAUCUUCCGCAAUGGGCGAAAGCCUGACGGAGCAACGCCGCGUGAGUGAUGAAGGUCUUCGGAUCGUAAAACUCUGUUAUUAGGGAAGAACAAAUGUGUAAGUAACUAUGCACGUCUUGACGGUACCUAAUCAGAAAGCCACGGCUAACUACGUG